rnacentral:lncRNA from 1 species
AUGAAUGUGUUUAACUGGCCCAAAACUACUUGCGGGACCUUUUGCUGUUGUUCUUGUUCGUUUCUUCCACCACCUCUUUCGCUGCUGUCCUCACCAACUCCUACUCGCCCUGGAGCUGUAAAGACAGGAGGAAGGGGUUUCGUGUUGGACCACAGGCGCUGGCCAGCUCCUAUGAGGAGGGUCAUCGACGACUUGCUGACCAAAUACCAGGGACAGGAGGACAUGCUCAGGCUUGUGGAUCACGAGUAUGCAGCUCUAGUUCACAAGUCCUUUAUAGACCCGAACAGUUUAUUGCACCCCACAACCAAUUUACACAUUUCCCACCAGCUGAACACCACUUCUCUGAAUAUAAGUCCAGAAACAGUUCAAGUGACACAACAACUUUCUGACAGCGGCAGUGGGAGGGACAAAAGAAGAUCCAGACAAAAACCUGUCAUUCUUGUAGGCAGCGCAAAUCGAGGUACCACAACAAUGGUUCCUCGUUACACUUCUCCCAUCAGCGGGAACUGGAUGCUACCAAAAGAAAAGGUGGAGGAGAAAGGGCACCAGAAAAGAAAAAGAACUGAGCCUGAACCUCCUCCUGCAUCUCCAUCCACAGGAGGCAGGUGUGGCUUCUGCCGAAAAGAACUGAAACAGACCUCACAUACACACUGGCUUCUCUGAUAUUGUUGGCAAAUACAAAUACUGCCCAGCAAAAGUUCUCUCCUUGUAUGAGAAUAAUGUCAUGAAGAGACAGAUAACCUGGAGGGAGUUUCAGGCAUCUCCUUUCUAUAUUAUGGAAACAGAGAGAUGGGCAGUAGAGAAGGGGAAUUAUGAGAUAUUCAGUCACUUUUGACAGUGUAAUACUAAAACUGGAGACUGAAUAAAGGGACUUUGGCCAAUUCUUUCGCA